GACGAACGCUGGCGGCGUGCCUAACACAUGCAAGUCGAACGAAGCAUUUGAUUGGAUCUCUUCGGAGUGAAGCUCUUAUGACUUAGUGGCGGACGGGUGAGUAACGCGUGAGUAACCUGCCUUUCAGAGGGGGAUAACAGUUGGAAACGACUGCUAAUACCGCAUAAUGUGACGGAAUCGUAUGAUUCUGUUACCAAAGCUGAGGCGCUGAAAGAUGGACUCGCGUCUGAUUAGAUAGUUGGUAAGGUAACGGCUUACCAAGGCAACGAUCAGUAGCCGGAUUGAGAGGUUGAACGGCCACACUGGAAACUGAGACACGGUCCAG
rnacentral:rRNA from 1 species